rnacentral:tRNA from 1 species
GGGGUUGUGGCUCAGAGGUAGAGCACUUGCCUAGCAUGCAUGAGGCACUGAGUUUGAUCCUCAGCACCA